ensembl:lncRNA
CAAAUAUAUGUAUUAAGAUAAUGCAUUGUUGGUAGCCUAAUAUUCUUAUAAUAAGAUGUAUUGUGUGUAAGUUUAGGGAAUAUCCGUAUGUGGAGCUUGCAGUUUUAACCUUUUGCAAAAAAAAAAAAAAGGUAUAUGGGCAAAACGAUAUGGAGAUAAAAACAAAAAUGUGUCAUAGUUACCCCCCGAUGAGUGCUCAUCUAAAGACAAAUACAUAUAGAUCUGAUUGCCAUGUAAAAUUAUCCACACAGGUAUCUCGCUAUGAUUUGAAAAUGUGUUGACGGCUCCUAAAGCCAAUCAAUGGCUACCAGGGGCGGAGAGUAGCUUGUCCGUCAGAUUGAUGCUAUAAUGAAUUCAAUAGGGAGGGAGGGGGAGAAUCCAAUCCGGUUUGAGCUAGUUUUUGUUCCAAUGGAACAUUAAGGUUUGCUACGCUGUAAUAGAACGUAGUGUUUGAAUCUUAUACCAACAUACAGUAUUUUUCUUGCUCCGUUUUGGAACAGUUCCCUCUUUAUUUGAACUUAUACGCAAAACAGCCAUGCCUAAAAGGAGCAAAGCAAGCGCUGAUGUUGAGGCAGCAGAGCCUAAGAGGAGAUCUGAGAGAUUGGUAAAUAAACCUGCAAUUGCAAAGGCAGAGCCCAAGCCAAAGAAGGAGAAGGCAGCACCUAAACCCAAGAAGGCUAAAGAGGUGAAAAAGACCGAGCCUGAGAAGGAGGUGCCCGCAGAGAAUGGAGAAGCCAAAGCUGAGGAAGAGGCACCAGAAGAACCUGAACAGAAAGAGGAAGAAGAGGCGGCCGAAUAACAUCUCUCAAACCACAUCUUUUAUCAGUGCUCCCUGUACCUCUUUUUCUUGUACAAUUCAGGGGUAUAUUUUUAUCGACUAUUUUCUAAAUGCAGGUUACUACACCAAGAACAUGCAAGCACGUCGUUUACAGGAUCUGGUCAAAACAACAGAGAGCUUGUCUGAGAGACUAACAUUCCAUAGGCUAUAUGAGGGAAGGUAUACGUAACCUGCAUUGUGUGGUGGGGAUGAAUUAACUCAAGGGGGAACACAUUGUUUUAUUGUUUAUAAUGAGGAAAACAUUUUAAGGUGUUUAAACUGUGUUCCAUAUGUUAACUCUUGUACUCAUUAUGUUUUUCUUUACCAUUCUGCUCAAUAAACCUAUUCCCUAGUACUGGAGUUCCUCCCUAUCAGGCCUGUGCAUUGGGUGUAAUUGGUUGGCUCUGUUCUGUGAUAGCAUUGCAAUAAAUUUGUAUAGCUGCUAUUAAAAGGGGUUUUCGACUUUCUAUAUGCAGUGUGUAAUGGUACAUUGUGAGUAUGGUAAAAAUGGAAUUGUGUUCUUAGCCAAGCUAAAGAAGUACAUAAGUUAAAUAUACUGACGAUUAUGGUUCCUUGGAUGCUGAGAAACUGUACAUCCAUUUGAGCUGUCAAAUACACAAACCAGCAGUAGCAAUAUUCAUGUGGGGUUUAGGUAUCAAGUACAAGUGUACAGUUCUUUUAUCCUUUGUUUAUAGAUGUAUCUGUGUAAUGAUUGGUAUAAACAAACCAAUAAAAAUUUGGUUGUACUUGUUUUGUUCUUUGUGUGAUGGAAAUGGACAAUGUCUGAAUCCAAAUAAUCAUGUAAAAACUAAAUUAUUUUAGAUGCCAGUUCUGUCCACAUAUGUAAUGCAGUAGCUAAAUAAUACCAGUUCUGAGACUGACAUGAAAAACGUUACUUGGUUAUUAGACUCCUGUCAGACUCAUUCCAUGGGCACAUUGUUUUCACUCCACCCAUUAGAAUGCAAUUUUGUGUGGCUCCAAUAUGUUUUUUGGGGGGAAAAUAUUGUGAAACUAUCUUUCCACUAUUACUGUAGAUACUGUAUAUUAAGGACAUUUCCUGAAAUUACAAUGCAAACAUAUAGCUAAUUUAAGUACCGUAGGGCUGCAAGAAAGAAACUCACCAUAUAUUCAGUACAUUAAGAAGUGUGUAUCACACCUAGAACAAAGGCUAGCACAUAUACUAAACAAAAAUAUGAACGCACCAUGUAAAGUGUUGGUCUCAUGUCUCAUGAGCUGAAAUAAAAGAUCCCAG